GAUGAACGCUGGCGGCGUGCCUAAUACAUGCAAGUCGAGCGAACAGACGAGGAGCUUGCUCCUCAGACGUUCGCGGCGGACGGGUGCGUAAUACGUGGCUAACCUACAUAUAAGACUGGGAUAACUUAGGGAAACCGGAGCUCAUACCGGAUAAUAUAUUGAACCGCAUGGUUCAAUAGUGAAAGACGGUUUUGCUGUCACUUAUAGAUGGAUUCGCGCUGCAUUCGAUAGUUGGUAAGGUAACGGCUUACCAAGGCAACGAUGCGGAGCCGACCUGAGAGGUUGACCGGCCACACGGGAACUGAGAAACGUGCCAGACUCCUACGGGAGGCAGCAUGAGGGAAAUUUCCGCAAUGGGCGAAAGCCUAACGAAGCAACGCCGCGUGAGUGAGGAAGGUCUUCGGUUCGUAAAACUCGGUUAGUAGAGAAGAACAAAUGGAUAAUUAACUAUGCGCGUCGUGACGGUACCUAAACAGAAAGCCACGGCUAACUACGUG
rnacentral:rRNA from 1 species